CCUCUUUCCCUUUUCAGGUCAAAUGCUGCCUGUUAUUUUCACUGUGCAGGAUGUGAUUUUGUCCCAGAAUAAUGAUCCAUCUCUGUUGCAAGUGACGCAAAUGAAGUUUUAAAAUCACAAAUAUCUGGGUGGGUUUCACCUCCCAAGGGGGUUAGCAUGUCUCAAUGGAAGGAUGCAUGAAAGGGAAGACCUGACUCUCUCCGCCCAAAGGGAAACACACUCGAAAGGUUUCCACUUUUGGUCAUCAGCCAGAUCUAACUGCAAGCCCAGCCGUCCAUCCCAGUGCAGACACUGAGGACAGGAGGAUGUGGGAACCAAACUGGGACACUCAUUGCUGGGACCACGUUGGGUCUGAAGCACCCUGAGAAGGCAACAAGGGAACAAGCUGUGCGUGCUCCACAAAGAAGACCCAUCUCUCUGCUGCCAGCCUAGCUCUUUGCGCAAGCUCUGCAUUUCAGCAACCUCAUCUUCAAAAUUUAGAAAGCAAAAAGAGAGUCUGAACAUCUUCACAAUUUAUGUGAGACUCAGUCAUAGAACAGAUUGAACAAAGACAAUUUGAAUAACAGCACAUAGGUUGUUCCGAAAGCAAUGCAUCCUAUACUGCCAAUCUGAGUCUAAGAAUGAAUUCAGAUUCUUUUCUUGGUACAAACGCUCACAGCCCCGAGUAUCAUAUGGGGUUUGAACAAUAUCUGGAAGACUAUGAUACUACAGCAAAUCCAUUAAAGCUUUGCCCCAGAGGAAAAUUAAGACUUAUUCUCUUCCUCUUGUAGGGAAACUGAGCACUUCAAUUCCACGUGUGUUUCUCAUUUAAUGCAUAUGUCAAUAUUCUUUAAAAAGCACUAUUUCUAGCAGAAAAAUCUGUGCCUAGGCAGAAUUAUUCUGCUUAGGUACAGAAACAACUCUGCAGCAUACCUGGGUACCAGUGUGAAAGUUACAUAGGGAAAUGCUUUAUUCUUCCACCUGACUAAAGCCAGGAAGAAAAUGAAUCAUGCAGAUAAUUCAAAACACUUCCAGAAGACGGAAUGCAACAUGACCUCAUGCAGCAUGCCCCACGUGGCCUGUAUGGCUAAUGCAGUGAGCUGCAUAUGCAGCCUAACAUGGAAGAAGAGGGGAACUUAUU
ensembl:lncRNA